rnacentral:rRNA from 1 species
GGUUAAGCGACUAAGCGUACACGGUGGAUGCCCUGGCAGUCAGAGGCGAUGAAGGACGUGCUAAUCUGCGAUAAGCGUCGGUAAGGUGAUAUGAACCGUUAUAACCGGCGAUUUCCGAAUGGGGAAACCCAGUGUGAUUCGUCACACUAUCAUUAACUGAAUCCAUAGGUUAAUGAGGCGAACCGGGGGAACUGAAACAUCUAAGUACCCCGAGGAAAAGAAAUCAACCGAGAUUCCCCCAGUAGCGGCGAGCGAACGGGGAGCAGCCCAGAGCCUGAAUCAGUGUGUGUGUUAGUGGAAGCGUCUGGAAAGGCGCGCGAUACAGGGUGACAGCCCCGUACACAAAAAUGCACAUGCUGUGAGCUCGAUGAGUAGGGCGGGACACGUGGUAUCCUGUCUGAAUAUGGGGGGACCAUCCUCCAAGGCUAAAUACUCCUGACUGACCGAUAGUGAACCAGUACCGUGAGGGAAAGGCGAAAAGAACCCCGGCGAGGGGAGUGAAAAAGAACCUGAAACCGUGUACGUACAAGCAGUGGGAGCACGCUUAGGCGUGUGACUGCGUACCUUUUGUAUAAUGGGUCAGCGACUUAUAUUCUGUAGCAAGGUUAACCGAAUAGGGGAGCCGAAGGGAAACCGAGUCUUAACUGGGCGUUAAGUUGCAGGGUAUAGACCCGAAACCCGGUGAUCUAGCCAUGGGCAGGUUGAAGGUUGGGUAACACUAACUGGAGGACCGAACCGACUAAUGUUGAAAAAUUAGCGGAUGACUUGUGGCUGGGGGUGAAAGGCCAAUCAAACCGGGAGAUAGCUGGUUCUCCCCGAAAGCUAUUUAGGUAGCGCCUCGUGAAUUCAUCUCCGGGGGUAGAGCACUGUUUCGGCAAGGGGGUCAUCCCGACUUACCAACCCGAUGCAAACUGCGAAUACCGGAGAAUGUUAUCACGGGAGACACACGGCGGGUGCUAACGUCCGUCGUGAAGAGGGAAACAACCCAGACCGCCAGCUAAGGUCCCAAAGUCAUGGUUAAGUGGGAAACGAUGUGGGAAGGCCCAGACAGCCAGGAUGUUGGCUUAGAAGCAGCCAUCAUUUAAAGAAAGCGUAAUAGCUCACUGGUCGAGUCGGCCUGCGCGGAAGAUGUAACGGGGCUAAACCAUGCACCGAAGCUGCGGCAGCGACGCUUAUGCGUUGUUGGGUAGGGGAGCGUUCUGUAAGCCUGUGAAGGUGUGCUGUGAGGCAUGCUGGAGGUAUCAGAAGUGCGAAUGCUGACAUAAGUAACGAUAAAGCGGGUGAAAAGCCCGCUCGCCGGAAGACCAAGGGUUCCUGUCCAACGUUAAUCGGGGCAGGGUGAGUCGACCCCUAAGGCGAGGCCGAAAGGCGUAGUCGAUGGGAAACAGGUUAAUAUUCCUGUACUUGGUGUUACUGCGAAGGGGGGACGGAGAAGGCUAUGUUGGCCGGGCGACGGUUGUCCCGGUUUAAGCGUGUAGGCUGGUUUUCCAGGCAAAUCCGGAAAAUCAAGGCUGAGGCGUGAUGACGAGGCACUACGGUGCUGAAGCAACAAAUGCCCUGCUUCCAGGAAAAGCCUCUAAGCAUCAGGUAACAUCAAAUCGUACCCCAAACCGACACAGGUGGUCAGGUAGAGAAUACCAAGGCGCUUGAGAGAACUCGGGUGAAGGAACUAGGCAAAAUGGUGCCGUAACUUCGGGAGAAGGCACGCUGAUAUGUAGGUGAAGUCCCUCGCGGAUGGAGCUGAAAUCAGUCGAAGAUACCAGCUGGCUGCAACUGUUUAUUAAAAACACAGCACUGUGCAAACACGAAAGUGGACGUAUACGGUGUGACGCCUGCCCGGUGCCGGAAGGUUAAUUGAUGGGGUCAGCGCAAGCGAAGCUCUUGAUCGAAGCCCCGGUAAACGGCGGCCGUAACUAUAACGGUCCUAAGGUAGCGAAAUUCCUUGUCGGGUAAGUUCCGACCUGCACGAAUGGCGUAAUGAUGGCCAGGCUGUCUCCACCCGAGACUCAGUGAAAUUGAACUCGCUGUGAAGAUGCAGUGUACCCGCGGCAAGACGGAAAGACCCCGUGAACCUUUACUAUAGCUUGACACUGAACAUUGAGCCUUGAUGUGUAGGAUAGGUGGGAGGCUUAGAAGUGUGGACGCCAGUCUGCAUGGAGCCGACCUUGAAAUACCACCCUUUAAUGUUUGAUGUUCUAACGUUGACCCGUAAUCCGGGUUGCGGACAGUGUCUGGUGGGUAGUUUGACUGGGGCGGUCUCCUCCUAAAGAGUAACGGAGGAGCACGAAGGUUGGCUAAUCCUGGUCGGACAUCAGGAGGUUAGUGCAAUGGCAUAAGCCAGCUUGACUGCGAGCGUGACGGCGCGAGCAGGUGCGAAAGCAGGUCAUAGUGAUCCGGUGGUUCUGAAUGGAAGGGCCAUCGCUCAACGGAUAAAAGGUACUCCGGGGAUAACAGGCUGAUACCGCCCAAGAGUUCAUAUCGACGGCGGUGUUUGGCACCUCGAUGUCGGCUCAUCACAUCCUGGGGCUGAAGUAGGUCCCAAGGGUAUGGCUGUUCGCCAUUUAAAGUGGUACGCGAGCUGGGUUUAGAACGUCGUGAGACAGUUCGGUCCCUAUCUGCCGUGGGCGCUGGAGAACUGAGGGGGGCUGCUCCUAGUACGAGAGGACCGGAGUGGACGCAUCACUGGUGUUCGGGUUGUCAUGCCAAUGGCACUGCCCGGUAGCUAAAUGCGGAAGAGAUAAGUGCUGAAAGCAUCUAAGCACGAAACUUGCCCCGAGAUGAGUUCUCCCUGACUCCUUGAGAGUCCUGAAGGAACGUUGAAGACGACGACGUUGAUAGGCCGGGUGUGUAAGCGCAGCGAUGCGUUGAGCUAACCGGUACUAAUGAACCGUGAGGCUUAACCUU